CAGAAGUGCGAAUGCUGACAUGAGUAACGACAAGGGGGGUGAAAAACCUCCCCGCCGGAAGACCAAGGGUUCCUGUCCAACGUUAAUCGGGGCAGGGUAAGUCGACCCCUAAGGCGAGGCUGAAAAGCGUAGUCGAUGGGAAACGGGUUAAUAUUCCCGUACUUCUUACAAUUGCGAUGGGGGGACGGAGAAGGCUAGGUGGGCCUGGCGACGGUUGUCCAGGUUCAAGUGCGUAGGCU
rnacentral:rRNA from 1 species